rnacentral:rRNA from 1 species
CGUUGACAAACGGAGGAAGGUGGGGACGACGUCAAAUCAUCAUGCCCCUUAUGUCCUGGGCCACACACGUACUACAAUGGUGGUUAACAGAGGGAAGCAAAACCGCGAGGUGGAGCAAAUCCCUAAAAGCCAUCCCAGUUCGGAUUGCAGGCUGAAACCCGCCUGUAUGAAGUUGGAAUCGCUAGUAAUCGCGGAUCAGCAUGCCGCGGUGAAUACGUUCCCGGGCCUUGUACACACCGCCCGGUCGACGCGGCCG